GAUGAAGAACGUAGCGAAAUGCGAUACUUGGUGUGAAUUGCAGAAUCCCGUGAACCAUCGAGUCUUUGAACGCAAGUUGCGCCCGAAGCCACUAGGCCGAGGGCACGCCUGCCUGGGCGUCACACGUCGUUGCCCCCCCAUCUACUCCUUCGGGAUUGCGGGGGGGCGGAUGAUGGCCUCCCGUGCGCCUAGCCGCGCGGUUGGCAUAAAUACCAAGUCCUCGGCGACGCACGCCACGACAAUCGGUGGUGGCGAAACCUCGGUUGCCCGUCGUGUGCGUUCGUCGCGCAUCGAGGGCUCGAAAAAAUGCUCGGCUUCGGCUCGGCUUUCAACGCGACCCCAGGUCAGGCGGGGUUACCCGCUGAAUUUAAGCAUAUCAAUAAGCGGAGGA
rnacentral:misc_RNA from 1 species